rnacentral:rRNA from 1 species
AACGGGUGCGUAACACGUAUGCAACCUACCCUUCACAGGAGGACAGCCCCGAGAAAUCGGGAUUAAUACUCCAUAACAUCACGGAUUCGCAUGUUUCCGUGAUCAAAGUUCCGGCGGUGAAGGAUGGGCAUGCGGCCUAUUAGUUUGUUGGUGAGGUAACGGCUCACCAAGACUACGAUAGGUAGGGGGUCUGAGAGGAUGAUCCCCCACACUGGUACUGAGACACAGACCAGACUCCUACGGGAGGCAGCAGUGAGGAAUAUUGGUCAAUGGACGAAAGUCUGAACCAGCCAUGCCGCGUGCAGGAAGACUGCCCUACGGGUUGUAAACUGCUUUUAUGUGGGAAUAAACCCCUGGAUUCUUCCGGGGCUGAAGGUACCACACGAAUAAGGAUCGGCUAACUCCGUGCCAGCAGCCGCGGUAAUACGGAGGAUCCAAGCGUUAUCCGGAUUUAUUGGGUUUAAAGGGUCCGUAGGCGGGAUAUUAAGUCAGUGGUGAAAGCCUUCAGCUUAACUGGAGAAUUGCCAUUGAUACUGAUGUUCUUGAGUACACCUGAAGUGGGCGGAAUGUGUCAUGUAGCGGUGAAAUGCAUAGAUAUGACACAGAACACCGAUUGCGAAGGCAGCUCACUAAAGUGUAACUGACGCUGAGGGACGAAAGCGUGGGGAGCGAACAGGAUUAGAUACCCUGGUAGUCCACGCCGUAAACGAUGAUCACUCGAUAUUGG